rnacentral:rRNA from 1 species
UACGUAGGGUCCGAGCGUUGUCCGGAAUUAUUGGGCGUAAAGGGCUCGUAGGCGGUUUGUCGCGUCGGGAGUGAAAACACGGGGCUUAACCCCGUGCCUGCUUCCGAUACGGGCAGACUAGAGGUAUGCAGGGGAGAACGGAAUUCCUGGUGUAGCGGUGAAAUGCGCAGAUAUCAGGAGGAACACCGGUGGCGAAGGCGGUUCUCUGGGCAUGUCCUGACGCUGAGGAGCGAAAGUGUGGGAGCGAACAGG